rnacentral:tRNA from 1 species
GGAAGAAUACUCUAGCUGGUUGAUGAGGCAGGUCUCGAAAAUCUGUAGGCUGUAAAAGGCGCGUGGGUUCGAAUCCCACUUCUUCCGCCA